ensembl:snoRNA SNORD82 Small nucleolar RNA SNORD82
AGCACAAAUGAUGAUUUUAGGGGACUUAAUACUGAAACAUGAUGUAACUCUAAGCAGAAACUGAUGUGC